rnacentral:tRNA from 1 species
UUUAAUGGGGUGUUGGGCAUUGUGGGGUUUGGUCCCACAGGUGGAUAGUUUCCUAUUUUUU